GAGAGUUUGGCCGAGUGGUCUAAGGCGUCAGAUUUAGGUUACUGCGGGAAUAUCUUGUUCCUAAUACUUAAAUACUCUGAUAUCUUCGGAUGCAUGGGUUCGAACCCCAUAGCUCUCA
rnacentral:tRNA from 1 species